AUCAUUUCUUAUUCUGUUUGACUAAGAUCAAGUACAGUAUUUGUUGUUAUCAGUUUCAUAUCUGAUGUGUCCACUAUCUGAGGACAAUAUAUCACAUUAAGAUGGUAUUAGAGCUGGCUCCGUCCAUUCCACACAUAAAGUAGGUACUGCAGUACUUCUGGGAAUAGUGAACCAAAA
rnacentral:snRNA from 1 species